GUGGGUUUUUACUCAGAGGCUCAGGCUGGAGUGCAGAAAAUCUGUUUUUCAGUGGGAUUCCCACGGAGUCUGAAUGUUUUGAGGCUUGGGCUGGUCGCUUUGUCCUUGGGAGCGGGGUCGGUGUUGAAGUUGAAGGUGGGUUUCGGCUCAGAGCCGGCCACGCUGUUUCGUCCAGGUGAGGUGUUCCCCCCGUUAGUCGUCUCAUGGGAUCUGCAGUGUGAGACUUUUGUUUCGGCUUGGCGCCCUGAGAGUUCCAGGGUGAGCUGCUUGGUGCGGGGUGUACGACCUCUCCGCUGGUUUGAGGAAGAGUUGUUUCAUUUCCACAGGUAGCGUUGAUCUCAAAGUUCACCUCCAGCCGUUGAAUCUUCGUUUCUAAAAACUGAAGUCGUUG